rnacentral:rRNA from 1 species
CCUACGGGAGGCAGCAGAUUAGAUACCCCUCAAGCGAGCGCGUAUUAUAUAUAGGGACUACCUAUCGGGAGGCACGCAGUGGGGAAUAUCUGCACAAUGGGCGAAAGCCUGAUGCAGCAACGCCGCGUGGGGGAUGACGGCCUUCGGGUUGUAAACCUCUUUUAGUAGGGAAGAAGGGCUUCGGCUUGACGGUACCUGCAGAAAAAGCACCGGCUAACUACGUGCCAGCAGCCGCGGUAAUACGUAGGGUGCAAGCGUUGUCCGGAAUUAUUGGGCGUAAAGAGCUCGUAGGCGGUUUGUCGCGUCUGCUGUGAAAACCCGAGGCUCAACCUCGGGCCUGCAGUGGGUACGGGCAGACUAGAGUGCGGUAGGGGAGAAUGGAAUUCCUGGUGUAGCGGUGGAAUACGCASAUAUCAGGAGGAACACCGAUGGCGAAGGCAGUUCUCUGGGCCGUUACUGACGCUGAGGAGCGAAAGCGUGGGGAGCGAACAGGAUUAGAUACCCUGGUAGUCCACGCCGUAAACGUUGGGAACUAGAUGUGGGGACCUUUCCACGGUGSUCCGUGUCGCAGCUAACGCAUUAAGUUGGGGUAUGGGCCAGCAAGAGUACCCCUAUGAACGCGAAGAACCUUAC